rnacentral:lncRNA from 1 species
AGCUUCUGUUUAUUUGGAGAAUGGGAAAUGAAAGUCUAGUUUAUGUAAAGGGUGGAGAUUCCUUGCUUCUUUCCAUUAACAAGUUCUUGGUUGCUUUUGUGUUACUCUUCCUCCAUGGUUUGCUUCAUGAAAUGGUUUAAAUCUCUAAACUUUAACCAUCCUAUACUGGGAAAAUGAAAGGAAUAAAUAUGCUAGCUCACUUCUUUUGCGAGAUUUUUGCAGAUAUUCUAACCCGAGAAGUACUAGUAUCCGAGAAAUGUUUUCUUGAUUUCCUUAUUCUUGGCUUUCGUGGUUUCCUGUUUGAAGACCGAAUUUUGUCUAAACGCUGACGACGGAUCUCAGGAUUAGCCCAGCCCUUUC